rnacentral:rRNA from 1 species
UACGAAGGGGGCUAGCGUUGCUCGGAAUCACUGGGCGUAAAGGGUGCGUAGGCGGGUCUUUUAAGUCAGGGGUGAAAUCCUGGAGCUCAACUCCAGAACUGCCCUUGAUACUGAAGAUCUUGAGUUCGGGAGAGGUGAGUGGAACUGCGAGUGUAGAGGUGAAAUUCGUAGAUAUUCGCAAGAACACCAGUGGCGAAGGCGGCUCACUGGCCCGAUACUGACGCUGAGGCACGAAAGCGUGGGGAGCAAACAGG